rnacentral:misc_RNA from 1 species
GGUUGUUGUAAUACCUUCUCUUUGUAGAUAAUCAACAUGACCAAGCUUGUGAAACUUAAUGCAUUUCAUAUCAGAUUUUCUCCAAUAAAGUGUGGAUGAUUUCUCCUCACACAGUGUUGGUUGGGAGGAUAUUUUUCUUCUCUGUUAUUCUUAGUUGCAGCAACACCAUUUGUCGUAGUGGCCUCUUCGUAGUUUCAAUGAUUUCCUUUCAUUCCUUUUUCUUUUUUUCCGUUGGCAUUUGAACCGAACUGCAACUUUUAUUGCAAGGCUCCCUCAAUGGAUCCCUCAUGCCUCAUCAUUCUUUGUUGUUCUUGUGCCUCAAGCUAGUCGAACUAUCACUCUUGCGACGUGAGUCUUUCCCUUUCAUUCAACCUCCAAAUAAAUUCAAUCUGG